GUUUUGAACAAAAUACUGUCUCUCUUUACCAACAAACUGAGAUGAAGUCCAGAGCUUUAUCACCUUCUAAUCCUAAGAUAAAGUUCAGAGCUUUAUCAACUAAAGUGGAGAGCUCUAAUGGAGUUGGUUUAGUUAAGAGGUGGGUUUAGGGGGUUAUUGAGAGAGGGUAAUGGAAAAUGUAGGAGUUGCAUGAUGGACAUAUGUCAAGUCAUGAAAAUGGAGGCAGUGAUAAAAGGAAAAAGAAAGAAAGAAACAGUUAGUUUAUAUGCUGCAAAAUGGAGCGUAAGUGUCAAGUCUGCAGAGAGAGGACAGAGGGGUUGGUCUUUGAGGGUGUGGUUGCAGAACCCCUGAGGCCUGAGCUGCCCUGCACGAUUGCCAAUGUAUUGUGUAUGUGAAUUGCUGAAUCUGAUCCACCUUGAGGUACUGCAUUUCACUGCAUCUAUCGGCUUUUGGCAGCUUUUUUUUUAUAUUUUGUUUGGGAUUUAUCAUUGCUUCAAAACAGAAAAAAAAAAAAGGUUAUCGAACAAUUAUUGGAUUAAAUUCAGUAUAAAUGUAUAGUUUAAACACAGCCGAGUUCUUAUCUUUUGGAUUAUUAGCAUUUUCGUUAGCAUGUAGAUAUUAGUUGUGCUUUCUUCUUCCUUUCGUACCAAAGAAAGAAAAAUCAAGAAUUAAUGUACCUUGAUUAAACCAACUCCAAGAACCCCUUUGGUU
rnacentral:lncRNA from 1 species